CCUACGGGAGACAGCAGUGAGGAAUAUUGGUCAAUGGGCGAGAGCCUGAACCAGCCAAGUCGCGUGAAGGAUGACGGCCCUACGGGUUGUAAACUUCUUUUGUCAGGGAGCAAUUGAGUCCACGUGUGGUCUUAGCGAGAGUACCUGAAGAAAAAGCAUCGGCUAACUCCGUGCCAGCAGGCGCGGUAAUACGGAGGAUGCGAGCGUUAUCCGGAUUUAUUGGGUUUAAAGGGUGCGUAGGCGGAAUAUCAAGUCAGCGGUAAAAAUUCGGGGCUCAACCCCGUCGUGCCGUUGAAACUGAUGAUCUUGAGUGGGCGAGAAGUAUGCGGAAUGCGUGGUGUAGCGGUGAAAUGCAUAGAUAUCACGAAGAAAACCGAUUGCGAAGGCAGCAUACCGGCGCCCAACUGACGCUGAAGCACGAAAGCGUGGGUAUCGAACAGGAUUAGAUACCCGAGUAGUC
rnacentral:rRNA from 1 species